AGAGACAGCAGCAGCCGCGGUAAUACAGAGGGUGCGAGCGUUAAUCGGAUUUACUGGGCGUAAAGCGUGCGUAGGCGGCUUUUUAAGUCGGAUGUGAAAUCCCUGAGCUUAACUUAGGAAUUGCAUUCGAUACUGGGAAGCUAGAGUAUGGGAGAGGAUGGUAGAAUUCCAGGUGUAGCGGUGAAAUGCGUAGAGAUCUGGAGGAAUACCGAUGGCGAAGGCAGCCAUCUGGCCUAAUACUGACGCUGAGGUACGAAAGCAUGGGGAGCAAACAGGAUUAGAUACCCGUGUAGUCCCUGUCUCUUAUAC
rnacentral:rRNA from 1 species